GUUCUAUGAUGAUAUGAAGGCAAAUGUGACCCCAUUGGCUGGGCUGCACCCUUAACCCAUCCCCGAUACAGGUCUGUAAUCUUGGCAGGCAGUGCAGAGUUUUGUGCGUUUGCUGUAAGGGCAGACCGACAGAAAGUCCCAUUUUCCAUUUCAUUCCUAGAGGGGGGAUGCGUCUGCUACUAGCAAGUGAUCCUAGGGGUGGACAUGGUAUGGGAACAGGGUAAACUUAACAUCUCCGGGUCUUGGGUCAGAGGCUGUAGCCCAAAUUAUGGCUGGUGUGGCGUGAGCACAGGUCUUUGGUAAUCUGAUUACU
rnacentral:snoRNA from 1 species